rnacentral:rRNA from 1 species
UGUUUGAUCCUGGCUCAGAACGAACGCUGGCGGCGUGCCUAAUACAUGCAAGUCGAACGAGAAAAUCCGGCUUCGGCUGGGUGAGUAAAGUGGCGAACGGGUGAGUAACACGUGGGCAAUCUGCCCUUAAGUUUGGGAUAAGCCCUCGAAAGGGGGUCUAAUACCGGAUAAUAUCCGGAGAUGGCAUCUUUUCCGGAUCAAAGGCGGAGCAAUCUGCCGCUUAGGGAUGAGCCCGCGUCCCAUUAGCUUGUUGGUGAGGUAAGAGCUUACCAAGGCUAUGACGGGUAGCUGGUCUGAGAGGACGACCAGCCACACUGGGACUGAGACACGGCCCAGACUCCUACGGGAGGCAGCAGUGGGGAAUAUUGGGCAAUGGGCGCAAGCCUGACCCAGCGACGCCGCGUGGGUGAUGAAGGCCUUCGGGUUGUAAAGCCCUGUCAUGUGGAAAGAACAGUCCCGUGGUGAAUAUCCACGGGAUUUGACGGUACCACAGGAGGAAGCACCCGGCUAA